CAAUUACAUUUGGAAUGCAUGGGCAGAGAGGUCCUGUUAUACAGCACUGUGUGCAGUCUCUUGGGAUAGAACAUGAUGGGGGAUGAUAGGAGCAAAAGAAUACAUAUAUAUGUGUAUAUAUAUGAUGUAUAGCGGAAAUUGGCACAACACUGUAAAUCAACUAUACUUAAAAAAUACGAAAAAAGAGAAAGGAAUGUUUGUUGAAUAAAUGUAUGCUUAUUUAGCAGAAUAGGAAACCGAAGCUCAGUGUAGUGAAGUAAUUCUCAGGGUCACAUGGGGAGUAAAGUGGCUGGGCUGAAAUUAGCAUCCAGGUCCAGUUGUCUUUACAGCUUAAGGUCCUACCAGUGGACUAGGAGCCUCAAACACAGGACCCAGGUCACUCAGUGUUUUAAAUACUGCCAUGUGAUAAUAUGAUGCUUAGAAAAUGACGGCCAUGAGGUGACUAUGAGGGGAAAUAACAUAAGGAGGAUGGAAAAAGAUUGAUGGAACCAGGUCCCAAAGUUGCGGCUGAGCUGGAGUGCCUACCCUGGUACCACCUACCUCUACUUCUUGUCUAGUAAGUAAUAAUUGUCUCUAUAGUUUAAGCCUCUGUUGGUCAUAUUUCUACUCCUUGCAGCUGAAGCAGUCCUGACUGACUUAGAAGCAUAAACUUGGGGGCUGUAUUCCUGGGUUUUAGGAGGUCCAGACUUUUUGAACUAAGUCCUAGAAUCCAUGUUGGAUGAUUCAGACCCUUGGGUUGGCUUGCACCUUACUACUUUCGUGUGAAGGAAGUUAGUGUGGCACCUCAUAGUGUUGGCUCAGGAAGCCUAUUCCUUAGUGUCUUUUGUGCUUUUUUAUCUUCUUCUUUUCCCUUUUAUAAGAAGAAAAAAUCACUGUGAAUUGACAGGGGAGUUUCAGUUUUAUUUUCAAUCAAGAAAUACCCUGGCCAAAUGCAUUGGAAGAAUCAUACACAUGGAGCUAAACACCCAAGGCCAUUGGUAGGAAGGGAAUGGGGAAGAGUUCUCUAAAUAGCUAACAUUAAUUGCAUACCUGUGUAUACUAGACAAAAAUUUAAUUCUGGGACACUUAAUUUAUUCCAUUGAUCUAUCUAUCUAUCCUUAUACCAGUGCCACACUGUCUUGAUUACUGUAGCUUUGAAGUAACUUUUGAAAUUAGGAAGUAUAGGUCUGCCAACUUUAUUUUUCAAGAUUAUCUUGGAGUUCCUGUUGUGGCGCAGUGGUUAACGAAUCCAACUAGGAACCAUGAGGUCGAGGGUUUGAUUCCUGCCCUU
rnacentral:lncRNA from 1 species